AAUCGAUCCUUCCGGAGAAGGGAUCACCGCUCGGACCGGCCAGAUCACAUUGUUAGCCCAAAUGGCAUCGGAUCAGGGCAUGCUCCGUGUCGAACUCUACGUCGAUGGACGCCCCAUGCGCACCUUGGGCGCUGCCAUGGUGGAGCCUCUUGGAAACACAGCCGAUGGCUGGUUCCGCGUAGUUCACCGCGAUGCCAGUUUGAGAGAGUUAGGCAAGCGUCUCGAUCGCAACCGCUUGUAGCCUUCCAUUUCCGGCGAGCAGGUCCCCGAUAUCAAACUUCGAGCAGUUGGCAGCACAGGCCUGUUCCACAGCAUGCAGCGCAACCUCUCACGUCA
rnacentral:misc_RNA from 1 species